CCAGUUCCUUCGGUAUCAAUGCAAUCUAGUAAUCAUGAUUUUUUGGUGUUAUGUACUGAAAAAAAUCAUGAUUACUAGAUUACAUUGAUACCGAAGGAACUU
rnacentral:miRNA from 1 species